rnacentral:rRNA from 1 species
UGGGGAAUAUUGCACAAUGGGCGAAAGCCUGAUGCAGCAACGCCGCGUGAGUGAUGAAGGCCUUCGGGUUGUAAAGCUCUGUCUUUUGGGACGAUAAUGACGGUACCAAAGGAGGAAGCCACGGCUAACUACGUGCCAGCAGCCGCGGUAAUACGUAGGUGGCGAGCGUUGUCCGGAUUUACUGGGCGUAAAGGAUGCGUAGGCGGAUAUUUAAGUGAGAUGUGAAAUACCCGGGCUUAACUUGGGUGCUGCAUUUCAAACUGGAUAUCUAGAGUGCGGGAGAGGAGAAUGGAAUUCCUAGUGUAGCGGUGAAAUGCGUAGAGAUUAGGAAGAACACCAGUGGCGAAGGCGAUUCUCUGGACCGUAACUGACGCUGAGGCAUGAAAGCGUGGGUAGCAAACAGGAUUAGAUACCCUGGUAGUCCACGCCGUAAACGAUGAGUACUAGGUGUAGGAGGGUCCAACCUUCUGUGCCGCAGUUAACACAAUAACG